rnacentral:tRNA from 1 species
GGGGAUUUAGCUCAGCGGUAGAGCACUUGCCUAGCAAGCGCAAGGCCCUGGGUUCGAACCCCAGCUCCG